rnacentral:rRNA from 1 species
GACGAACGCUGGUGGCGUGCUUAACACAUGCAAGUCGAACGAUGAAGCUAGAGCUUGCUCUGGUGAAUUAGUGGCGAACGGGUGAGUAACACGUGAGUAACCUGCCCCGAACUCUGGGAUAACUGCUGGAAACGGUAGCUAAUACUGGAUACGACCUACGAAGGCAUCUUCUGUAGGUGGAAAGAAUUUCGGUUCGGGAUGGACUCGCGGCCUAUCAGCUUGUUGGUGAGGUAAUGGCUCACCAAGGCGACGACGGGUAGCCGGCCUGAGAGGGUGACCGGCCUCACUGGGACUGAGACACGGCCCAGACUCCUACGGGAGGCAGCAGUGGGGAAUAUUGCACAAUGGGCGCAAGCCUGAUGCAGCAACGCCGCGUGAGGGAUGACGGCCUUCGGGUUGUAAACCUCUUUUAGUAGGGAAGAAGCGAAAGUGACGGUACCUGCAGAAAAAGCACCGGCUAACUACGUGCCAGCAGCCGCCGUAA